GUAGCAUAGUCAAUANUCUCUUAAUUGGAGGCUGGAAUGAACGGUUGGACGGGAANAAAGCUGNCUUGCUUGGUUGAUAAUGAAUUUGACUUUUGUGUGAAAAGGCAUAAAUGCCUUGGGGGGACGAUAAGACCCUGUAAAACUUGAUAAUUUAAUUUGGGUCUCUGAAUUGUGUUUAAUAUAGGUCUGGGUAUGAUUAUUUUGCUGGGGAGGCAAGGAUAAAAGUUUANUUAACUGGCAUANAAAUAGAAUAAUAAUUGUUAGAUGAUGACCCUUAAUUUAGGUUUAAGAGUUUAAGUUACUUCANGGAUAACAGCGUAAUUUCUCUUGAGAGUUCUUAUCGACAGAAAUAGUUGCGACCUCGAUGUUGAAUUAAAACUUCCUGUANGAAUANGAAUUUACAUGGUAGUCUGUUCGACCUUNAAUUUACGGGAUUGGAA
rnacentral:rRNA from 1 species